AAUCAACGCUGGCGGCGUGCCUCAGACAUGCAAGUCGAACGUGAAAGGCUUCUUCGGAAGCCGAGUAAAGUGGCGCACGGGUGAGUAACACGUGAGUAAUCUGCCUUCACGGUGGGGGAUACCAAUCGGAAACGGUUGUUAAUACCGCAUAAUGCAGCGGCAUCAUAAGAUGACAGUUGUUAAAGCGGGGGAGCGAAGCAAUUCGUCCUCGCGCCGGAAGAGGAGCNCGCGGCAGAUUAGGUAGUUGGUGAGGUAACGGCUCACCAAGCCUGCGAUCUGUAACCGGCCUGAGAGGGCGGUCGGUCACACUGACACUUAGAUACGGGUCAGACUCCUACGGGAGGCAGCAGUCGGGAAUUUUGGGCAAUGGGCGCAAGCCUGACCCAGCAACGCCGCGUGAAGGAUGAAGCAUUUCGGUGUGUAAACUUCGCAAGAAUAGGAAGAAUAAGGGUGAGCAAACACCUCACCGAUGACGGUACUAUUUGUAAGCUCCGGCUAAC
rnacentral:rRNA from 1 species